CGGGAACAUGUUUUGGCUUGUGGAUCAAUUCAAAAUAUAAGGCAUCACUCAUCAAAUACCCACCGAGGUAAAAAUCUGACUUCAUUCUUGAAAUGGAAAUUAACAAAUGUAAGAAUGUUUAAUUUUUUUUUUAAAUCGCAGCUUUUGUUUCUCUAAAGAUCCAGAAACGUUUUCCCUUUCCUUAUGGUGGACGUGUGAGUCACUGCGGCUGGAGAACUUGGAAGACAAAUCACAGCCUCUGAAGCAAAUUUGAUGCAACUGAAAUCAGGACUGUAUUUGAAGAGAUCAAGAAAUGGAGAGGAUUUCUUUUUUCCACUCAGGUGUUUAGGGAUACGUUUGUUGAAGAGUUGGGCCUAGCAAGAUGGCAGCUCAUGUGCAAUAAGUAUUCCCGUGAAGUGCCACUGCUAAGAAGGACUCCAUUAGCUCCCCAAAAGAAGAUGUGUGAUCAGAAGAGGCAGCUGGUUAGAACCCCUAAUGGCUGCUGGACUACCACGCUUCAUAUUCUUAGUUUAAAAAGUUCCUACUUAAAAAGCGACACAAGAGACAGAACUUGGAGGCUUCACAAGUGAACAGCCAAGAGAAUGAAAAGGCCUUCUAUACUCUUUUUGUUUGUUUCAACAUGACUACAUUAAGCACCUCUGCAUUAUUUUAAAAUCUUCUUGACUAGGAGUAGCAAAGAAUCCUGUGGCACCUUAUAGACUAACAGAUGUUUUGGAGCAUGAGCUUUCGUGGGUGAAUACCCACUUCGUCAGCGGGUAUUCACCCAUGAAAGCUCAUGCUCCAAAACGUGUUAGUCUAUAAGGUGCCACAGGAUUCUUUGCUGCUUUUACAGAUCCAGACUAACACGGCUACCCCUCUGAUACUUGACUAGGAGUGGGAUUUUUCAGAAUUGCCUUCGGGAGUUAGGUGCCAAUGGGAGCUGAGUGUCUAACUAGGCUUACUUUAAAAUCUUAGCCUUCAACUGCUGUAAAUUUUCUGACGUUUGAUUUUUGUUGCAAUUUUGGAGUUAAAUGAAAAAAAAUCUGGAAAAAAAGUCAACUAAAGUUUGGUAUGUUUUUUGACCAGUUCUAUUAUCGAUAAAUGUUUCUCUAUGCAACCCAAAGAAAGAGUAGCCAUAACUGCUGUUGUAAAUGCCCUUGUUUCGUCCUAUCUGCAGUUUUAAUUUUGAGGACAUAGUGGGCUACUGAUUUUGCUCCUGUACAUUUUCCCUCACAGAUACCUGCAGGUGCACUUUGUACAACUUAGACGUCUAUGCAUUAUUGCCAACCUCAGGCCUCCAAAAUUGAGAGAUUAUCUUAAGUCACGAGAUUUUUUUUAAAAUAUACAUUUUGGAUUUGCUUUAUUUGCCUUACAGUUUUAGAAUAUUUAGGUUACAGUUGGGUCACAUGUUCAACCUUUACUCUGCAACCAUAAGGGCUAGGAACUUUUUUUAAAAAAUAAAAGCUGAGAUUGUCACA
rnacentral:lncRNA from 1 species